AUGAACGCUGGCGGCGUGCCUAAUACAUGCAAGUCGAGCGAACGGACGAGAAGCUUGCUUCUCUAAUGUUAGCGGCGGACGGGUGAGUAACACGUGGAUAACCUACCUAUAAGACUGGGAUAACUUCGGGAAACCGGAGCUAAUACCGGAUAAUAUUUUGAACCGCAUGGUUCAAAAGUGAAAGACGGUCUUGCUGUCACUUAUAGAUGGAUCCGCGCUGCAUUAGCUAGUUGGUAAGGUAACGGCUUACCAAGGCAACGAUGCAUAGCCGACCUGAGAGGGUGAUCGGCCACACUGGAACUGAGACACGGUCCAGACUCCUACGGGAGGCAGCAGUAGGGAAUCUUCCGCAAUGGGCGAAAGCCUGACGGAGCAACGCCGCGUGAGUGAUGAAGGUCUUCGGAUCGUAAAACUCUGUUAUUAGGGAAGAACAUAUGUGUAAGUAACUGUGCACAUCUUGACGGUACCUAAUCAGAAAGCCACGGCUAACUACGUG
rnacentral:rRNA from 1 species